rnacentral:rRNA from 1 species
CUUGGUGAUUAUAGCGAGGGGCAAAGCACCCGAUCCCAUUCCGAACUCGGCCGUUAAAACCCUCAGCGCCAAUGGUACUGUGUCCUAAGGCACGGGAGAGUAGGACGUUGCCAAGC